rnacentral:lncRNA from 1 species
CCCUCCCCGUUUUCUGGCACAUAGCUCAUAAACCCCUUGUGACAAGUGAUAAGUGUCAUUCUGCAUGCGAGUGAGAUGACCAAGGGCUGGAGGCUCCUGGACAGCCUUGGGGUGAGGACUGGUUACCAGGGGAACUCACCAUGUGGUUAGAGAGUUGGAACUUUCAGUCCCACUACACCCUCCCCCGCCCACCGCCUCAGCAACCAACCUCCAGGGAGGGGAAAGGGGGCAGAAGUUUGAGUUAAUAACUAAUAGCUAAAGAUGUAAACAAUAAGCCUCCAUAAAACCCCAAAAGGACUGGACUGGUUUCUGAGAGCUUCCAGGUUGUUGAGCACGUGGAGGUUCUGGGAGGGUCCACACCCAGAGAAGGCAUGGAAGCUGACCCCUUCCCCAUACCUUGCUCUUUGCAUCUCUUCCAUUUGGCUGUUCCCGAGUUGUAUACUUUGUAAUAAGUGGGAUUUCCACCCAACAACAAUUCAGCCACACUGCUUCACACAUCUAGAAUCCAUCCAAAAUUGUAAAGGCUUUGUGGCACUACAGUGAAACAGGCAAGAACAUCUUCCAAACAUCCAGCACAAGAGCACACAGGAGGCCGGCAUAAUCACGAAUUGCAGCUGUCUGAAGGGCAGUCACAUAAAAGAGGAGAAGCUUCACCUUUGCUUCACAAGGCACAUCUUGAACCAGGGAUGGAAAUUACAGAGAGGCCAAAACCAGCUCGGUGUGAGCAGGACUGGUAACAGACUGGCCAAGCAACAGAAGGGGCUGCCCUGUGAAGAAGCAAGCUCUCUGUCAAUGGGAGGUGCAAGCUGAGCCUGCACUACCUUUUGUCACGGUUGCUAUGGAAAAGAUUAAGAGCCCGGAUAGCCCUUCCUCCUCUGGGGGCCUGGGCAUCAGCAAGUCGGAUGGCAGUGGAAGGUGGAGAAAUGGAAUCCUGCUGGGGGCUCAGGAGGCCUGCCCCCUGAUGCUGCCGUGCACUGCAGAUGUCCUUGAUGAAGAGAAUGAAUGGAAGCUGUCUUUCUCAAUGGCAAAAGGGCAUACUGCUGUUAUUGUCAGUGAGGGGUCAGUAGUUUAAAUGAUGAAACUCUGGGGAUCAGCGUAAAGUAAACCAACAUACUGCAUGUAAGUAUCAAGUAAAUGAGCAGAGACAGCCCCUGGUUUACAAACACCUGACUUAAGCAUCGUCCAUCCUACAGGACAGGGAAGGAGGAAGAAGCUUCGAGAGGCUGGAACAGUUGAGGGAGCGCUGACACGGUAAAGGCCACUUUGCUCAUCAUCACCAGGCGUGCUGCCGAAAAUUUCCACUCUGUUUACUCCCAAGACCUUACUCCUACUAUGUGGAGACACAUUUGAAUAAAAAAUUGGCCUCUUUUCAAAGUCAAAAUUCUGAGCCAGCUUGAAGGGAUUGUUUUUGGUCAAACCUGCAUCAAUUUGGGCAUCAAAAUAAAUAAUGCUACCAAUUUAUUGCACCCUAUUGAAUAGAAUAGCAAGUCAUGAGUCUAUGUUCAUAUAAAUAAGUAAAACUGAGGAGAAGGGAAAGCUCUCUUUUAUAGUAGAAAUCCAUCUAAUAGGUGUAGAAGAAAAUGAUAAAGUUAGAAAAUCACCAUUUGGCCACCAUUGUAGUAAUCAUGGAUUCAGCUAAAAAUCAUCAAUGGAUGCUGGAACAAAUGAGUGAAAGUUUAAUGAGGGUCAGAAUAUUUAUAUGGCCUCACAGUGUAUCCUUAUACAAUUCUUAAUAAUUACUG